rnacentral:rRNA from 1 species
CAAUAGCGUAUAUUUAAGUUGUUGCAGUUAAAAAGCUCGUAGUUGGAUUUCGGUUGAGAGCGGCCGGUCCGCCGUUUGGUGUGCACUGGCUGGUUUCAACUUCCUGUAGAGGACGCGCUUUGGGCUUAACGGUCUGGACGUGGAGUCUACGUGGUUACUUUGAAAAAAUUAGAGUGUUCAAAGCAGGCUUAUGCCGUUGAAUAUAUUAGCAUGGAAUAAUGAGAUAGGACUUCGUCACUAUUUUGUUGGUUUGCGUGAUGAGGUAAUGAUUAAUAGGGACAGUUGGGGGUAUUCGUAUUCCAUUGUCAGAGGUGAAAUUCUUGGAUUUUUGGAAGACGAACUACUGCGAAAGCAUUUACCAAGGAUGUUUUCAUUAA